UAACCAACUGAGCCACCCAGGCACCCCAAGGUAAGGUCUGCCUUAAGCAAAGGUGACGCAAUCCAGAAAAGGACUGGAAAUUAGAUCCAGUUAGAUCCAAAUGACUGAGUUGAUCUCUAAGCAGGAUGUAUCUUUGAAAUAAAAAUCAGCAGAGAAGGAAAAGUUCAGAUAACUCAUCAGUUAUGCGGGAGGUGGGGAGGGCCUAGUUUAAGUCCCAUUUCCUAUGUCAAAAGUAAGUUCUAGGGGUAUUUAUGAAUUAAACACAGUAACAGAAGAAAACGGUAUUUGUUAAACCUCUAACUAGAAGUAUUUCUCAACGUCGAAGCAAGAGAAGGAAGUGAUGUGGAUAUGACUGACCUGACCAGUAACCAAAGAAAUAGAUAUUAAAACAAAUUAAUGAUAAAGGUAUGAAGAUAAGGGGCACUGGCUUCCUCACUCAUUGCAGGUGUCGUAUUGAAAGGAUAUCACCCAUUCGGAAAGCAUUUUGGCUCUGUGUCCCAGGUCAGGGUGUGCCUACAUUUUGACUCAGCAGUCCCACUUCUGGGAAUCUAGCCAAAGAAAUACUCCAAAAUGUGGAAAAAGUUACAUACUGCAAUUUGUACAUCAUACCAUUAUUUUUAUUGAAGAUUUGGCCGCAGCUUAAAGAUCCUGGAGCAGGGACUAUACAUGCAGUCACCUGGAUGGGGACCACAAUACCGCCUCAUUUU